rnacentral:rRNA from 1 species
AGUGAACGCUGGCGGCGUGCCUAACACAUGCAAGUCGAACGAUGAUAAACUGAGCUUGCUCAGUUUGAUUAGUGGCGCACGGGUGAGUAUACCAUAGAUAAUGUACCUCUUAGUUUGGGAUAGCCACUGGAAACGGUGAUUAAUACCAGAUACUCCUUCUCGUUAUAAGACGAGUCGGGUAAAGUUUUUCGACUAAGAGAUCAGUCUAUGUCCUAUCAGCUAGUUGGUGAGGUAAUGGCUCACCAAGGCUAUGACGGGUAUCUGGUUUGAGAGGAUGAUCAGACACACUGGAACUGAGACACGGUCCAGACUCCUACGGGAGGCUG